AAUGAACAUGUACAAGCAAAAUAAAUAAUGAAUAAAUAAAUAAAUAAAUAAUGAAUAAGUAAAAUGCUAUGCA